UGGGUUGUGACUCAGGGGCAGAGCACUCGCCUCACACGUGUGAGGCCCUGGGUUUGAUCCUCAGAAACACAU
rnacentral:tRNA from 1 species